rnacentral:lncRNA from 1 species
CACAUGUAAAAGGAAAUUUUUUUGUUCUCACACCCUCAGAAAUUCGAUCAACCAGGAAUCUGUGAACCCUUUUGAUGAGUAUUCACCUCUCCAGAAAGUGAGAACUGGUUCCCACAAACACUGCCUCCUGGGGCAGUGCUAGACAGUUUGGAAGAAAAAAAGUCACUAUAAAAGGCCCUGAAUUUCUGGGGCUAAGGGAAUGUAUUCCAAGAAGGAAGUGGACUUCAAGAAGAAGUUGGACUUCAAGAGGAAAGUCAGCUUCAAGAAGAAGUGGCAGAGAAACAAGCUAAAGAAGAAAUGCAGACCAAGUACCUAAAAGGUACCUUGCUAUCUGUACUACUGCUUCAUCGCAUUGCCUCAUUCAUACUAUAUAGAUGCCAAGAUAACUAGAAGGUCACCAUGAAGAGACUAUUGGAAAAAUGUUGAGCAUAGACUAGAUGUUUUAUACCCAACAGUGACAAUAAAAGUAAUAGACAUGAUAAGCA